rnacentral:ribozyme from 1 species
GAAAGCAAAAGGCAAACAAGCAUUUGUAUUAAUACGGUUAUCAGCCUCUCUUUUUUGUUUUUGUUUGUUUUGUUUUCCCCCCCUCUUUUCAUAAUGG